GUGCUUGCUUUGGAAGAACAUAUACUAAAAUUGGAACGAUACAGAGAAGAUUAGUAUGGCCCUUAAGUAAGGCUGAGGCACAAAUUCAUGAAGCGUUAAAAAAUUCA
rnacentral:snRNA from 1 species